UAUCGCGAAGAUGGCGAUAUGAAGAUGGCGAACAACAACAGUACUCGUCCAUUUUUUUAUUAUCAUUUUUAUCACGUUUUGUUCAAGUGCACGGGGUUUAAUCGUAUCGAGCCUAUCACGAAGAUGGCCGCUCGAUUACUCCUUUCGACCAUGUCGGGCCUAUUACGAAGAUGGCCGCACGGUUUAUGUAGUAAAAUAAACGGGCUUGAUCGUGUCAAGCAUAUCGCGAAGAUAGUCGCUCGAUUAACCGUUUUAACCAUGUCGAGCCUAUCGCGAAGAUGGCCGCACGAUUUUCGUAGCAAAAUAUCCGAUGCUUGAUCAACAAUUUCGACUAUGUCGAGCCUAUUGCGAAGAUGACCGCACGGUUUAAAUAAUAAAAUAUCCGGUGCUUGUUCGACCGUAUCGAGCCUAUCACGAAGAUGACCGCACGAUUUAGAGAUUAGCGAUGCAUACGUACGACGGAAGUGACGAUUUGAUGUCAAAUUUGAUCGGUUCGAAACCUAUCAUGAAGAUGGUCGGGUUGAUCAAACCAACAAAAAAAAUCGCACUUACGUUUUUCGUAUGCAUGCACAUCUUUUGUUGUCGUAGAAGUCAUCAUAGUUGUCGUUGUUGCCAGAGUCCUUUUUU
rnacentral:lncRNA from 1 species